UACAGAGGUCUCAAGCGUUGUUCGGAUUCAUUGGGCGUAAAGGGUGCGUAGGUGGCGCCAUAAGUCAGGUGUGAAAUCUCGGGGCUUAACUCCGAAACUGCAUUUGAUACUGUGGUGCUUGAGGACUGGAGAGGAGACUGGAAUUCACGGUGUAGCAGUGAAAUGCGUAGAUAUCAGAAGGAACGCCGGUGGCGAAAGCGACGUGCUGGACCUCUUCUGACGCUGAGGCGCGAAAGCUAGGGGAGCAAACGGG
rnacentral:rRNA from 1 species